UACGGGGGGGGCAAGCGUUGUUCGGAAUUACUGGGCGUAAAGGGCUCGUAGGUGGCCAUCUAAGUCAGACGUGAAAUCCCUCAGCUUAACUGGGGAACUGCGUCUGAUACUGGAUGGCUUGAGUUUGGGAGAGGGAUGCGGAAUUCCAGGUGUAGCGGUGAAAUGCGUAGAUAUCUGGAGGAACACCGGUGGCGAAGGCGGCAUCCUGGACCAACACUGACACUGAUGAGCGAAAGCCAGGGGAGCAAACGGG
rnacentral:rRNA from 1 species